UAGGGAAUAUUGGUCAAUGGGCGCAAGCCUGAACCAGCCAUGCCGCGUGAGUGACGAAGGCCUUCGGGUCGUAAAACUCUUUUCUGAGGGAAGAACAACCGGGACAGGAAAUGGUCUCGGCCUGACGGUACAUCAGGAAUAAGCAACGGCUAACUCCGUGCCAGCAGCCGCGGUAAUACGGCGGUGGCGAGCGUUGUUCGGAAUAACUGGGAGUAAAGGGAGCGCAGGCGGUUUGGUAAGUCUAAAGUGAAAGCCCGGGGCUUAACCUCG
rnacentral:rRNA from 1 species